rnacentral:rRNA from 1 species
CACGUAGGGGGCGAGCGUUGUCCGGAUUUAUUGGGCGUAAAGAGCUCGUAGGCGGCUCAGUAAGUCGGGUGUGAAAACUCCAGGCUCAACCUGGAGACGCCACCUGAUACUGCUGUGGCUAGAGUCCGGUAGGGGAGCAUGGAAUUCCUGGUGUAGCGGUGAAAUGCGCAGAUAUCAGGAGGAACACCGGUGGCGAAGGCGGUUCUCUGGGCAUUACCUGACGCUGAGGAGCGAAAGUGUGGGGAGCGAACAGG